rnacentral:rRNA from 1 species
CUCAGGGAGGUAGUGACAAGAAAUAACAACACUGGAAAUUUUAUUUCUAGUGAUUGGAAUGAUGGGAAUUUAAACCCCUUUCAGAGUAACAAUUGGAGGGCAAGUCUGGUGCCAGCAGCCGCGGUAAUUCCAGCUCCAAUAGCGUAUAUUAAAGUUGUUGCAGUUAAAAAGCUCGUAGUUGGAUGUCUGCUGGAAGCAAUCAGUCCGCCCUAUUUGUAGGGUGUGCACUUGAUGAAUUCUGGCAUCUAUGUCCUAAUGUGAUAGAUACGGCGGUGUAUAUGGGUUAAUCCUAUAUACCCGUUUGUAUAUUAUAUUGGGAUAAUACCGUUACUUUGAGAAAAUUAGAGUGUUUGAAGCAGGCUAAUUGCCUUGAAUACUGUAGCAUGGAAUAACAAUAUAGGAUUUCGGUUCUAUUUUGUUGGUUUCUAGGACUGAAAUAAUGAUUAAUAGGGACAGUUGGGGGCAUUCGUAUUUAACUGUCAGAGGUGAAAUUCUUAGAUUUGUUAAAGACGAACUACUGCGAAAGCAUUUGCCAAAGAUGUUUUCAUUAAUCAAGAACGAAAGUUAGGGGCUCGAAGACGAUCAGAUACCGUCGUAGUCUUAACCAUAAACUAUGCCGACUAGAGAUAGGAAAAUGUCAUUUUUCUGACUU